rnacentral:rRNA from 1 species
CAGCAGCCACGGUAAUACGAAGGGUGCAAGCGUUAAUCGGAAUUACUGGGCGUAAAGCGUGCGUAGGCGGUGAGUUAAGUCCGCUGUGAAAUCCCCGGGCUCAACCUGGGAAUGGCAGUGGAUACUGGCUCGCUAGAGUGUGUCAGAGGAUGGUGGAAUUCCCGGUGUAGCGGUGAAAUGCGUAGAGAUCGGGAGGAACAUCAGUGGCGAAGGCGGCCAUCUGGGACAACACUGACGCUGAGGCACGAAAGCGUGGGGAGCAAACAGGAUUAGAUACCCGCGUAGUCCCUGUCUCUUAUAC